AGAAAAAGAAAAAGAAGAAGAAGAAGAAAGAUGGGGUCUUGAAUGUAUCAAUUAUGAAACAGUGAGUUUAUUGAUUGUGAAUUGUGUGAUCCCUGAUCAUCUUCAUUCCCUUUUUCCCUUUUAUCUUAUCCAAUUUAUCCAAAAAUACUCAGAAAG
rnacentral:ribozyme from 13 species